rnacentral:rRNA from 1 species
GACGAACGCUGGCGGCGUGCUUAACACAUGCAAGUCGAACGGAAAGGCCUUGCUUUUGUGGGGUGCUCGAGUGGCGAACGGGUGAGUAACACGUGAGUAACCUGCCCUUGACUUUGGGAUAACUUCAGGAAACUGGGGCUAAUACCGGAUAGGAGCUCCUGCUGCAUGGUGGGGGUGGGAAAGUUUCGGCGGUUGGGGAUGGACUCGCGGCUUAUCAGCUUGUUGGUGGGGUAGUGGCUUACCAAGGCUUUGACGGGUAGCCGGCCUGAGAGGGUGACCGGCCACAUUGGGACUGAGAUACGGCCCAGACUCCUACGGGAGGCAGCAGUGGGGAAUAUUGCACAAUGGGCGGAAGCCUGAUGCAGCAACGCCGCGUGCGGGAUGACGGCCUUCGGGUUGUAAACCGCUUUCGCCUGUGACGAAGCGUGAGUGACGGUAAUGGGUAAAGAAGCACCGGCUAACUACGUG